CCUGGCUCAGGAUGAACGCUGGCGGCGUGCUUAACACAUGCAAGUCGAACGAAGCUCUCGGAUGGAUCCCUUCGGGGUGAAGGAAGAGAUGACUGAGUGGCGGACGGGUGAGUAACGCGUGGGAAACCUGCCUCAUACAGGGGGAUAACAGUUGGAAACGACUGCUAAUACCGCAUAAGCGCACGGUAUCGCAUGGUACAGUGUGAAAAGCCUUAACGGUAUGAGAUGGUCCCGCGUCUGAUUAGCCAGUUGGCGGGGUAACGGCCCACCAAAGCGACGAUCAGUAGCCGACCUGAGAGGGUGACCGGCCACAUUGGGACUGAGACACGGCCCAAACUCCUACGGGAGGCAGCAGUGGGGAAUAUUGCACAAUGGGCGAAAGCCUGAUGCAGCGACGCCGCGUGAGUGACGAAGUAUUUCGGUAUGUAAAGCUCUAUCAGCAGGGAAGAAAAAUGACGGUACCUGACUAAGAAGCUCCGGCUAAAUACGUGCC
rnacentral:rRNA from 1 species